CAUAUGGAUAAUUCAUACGUUCAGUUUGACGACGAUAACGUUCUGUUUCUUGUUGCAGUAGAGUAGAGAUACGCACGCCAUUCACCAUACGUGUUGGGAUAGUCUUGUUCUCUCUUUCUAUUUAUAACAUGUUGCACGGCACUUCGGAACCACGCUCGCACUGGUUCUGUUUCAUCUACCACUGCUUCAGCCAUCACUUCUGUUAUGAUGAUUUAAUAGAAAAACAAUCAAAAGAUAGAUUAUUAAAAAUUUUUAAUAUGUGAAUUAUGUCACAUUAUAAAUAAGGAAGGCAAUAUAGUAAGAUGAAAACGCAA